rnacentral:rRNA from 1 species
AUCAAAACUCUUAGCAACGGAUCUCUAGGCUCUGGCUUCGAUGAAGAACGCAGCGAAAUGCGAUAAGUAAUGCGAAUUGCAGAGUUCAGUGAGUCAUCGAAUUUUUGAACGCACAUUGCGCCUGCUGGUCCUCCAGCAGGCAUGCCUGUCCGAGCGUCACAAGUACGCUGCGCGCUGCGGUGAUUCGCGGGGCGCGUGUUGGAGGCUGGCGGUGCGCACGCCGCCACCUCUCAAAUGCAGUGGCCGCCUGCAGCGCCGCUCUCCACGCAGUAGCAUGUCGGGAGAGCGCCGCCCCAGCGGGCUGACGCAGGACCUGUCGGCCAACACUGACGCGUUGACCUCGGCUCAGGUAGGACUACCCGCUGAACUUAAGCAUAUCAAUAA